rnacentral:rRNA from 1 species
AUUGAACGCUGGCGGCAGGCCUAACACAUGCAAGUCGAGCGGUAGAGAGAAGCUUGCUUCUCUUGAGAGCGGCGGACGGGAGAGUAAUGCCUAGGAAUCUGCCUGGUAGUGGGGGAUAACGUUCGGAAACGGACGCUAAUACCGCAUACGUCCUACGGGAGAAAGCAGGGGACCUCGGGCCUUGCGCUAUCAGAUGAGCCUAGGUCAGAUUAGCUAGUUGGUGAGGUAAUGGCUCACCAAGGCGGCGAUCCGUAACUGGUCUGAGAGGAUGAUCAGUCACACUGGAACUGAGACACGGUCCAGACUCCUACGGGAGGCAGCAGUGGGGAAUAUUGGACAAUGGGCGUAAGCCUGAUCCAGCCAUGCCGCGUGUGUGAAGAAGGUCUUCGGAUUGUAAAGCACAUUAAGUUGGGAGGAAGGGUUGUAGAUUAAUACUCUGCAAUUUUGACGUUACCGACAGAAUAAGCACCGGCUAACUCUGUGCCAGCCGCCGCAGUAA